rnacentral:sRNA from 1 species
AAAAUAUUUACUCUCUCAUUUCUUCCAGAUACACCCUAUCUUCCUAUUGCCCCGACUUCAUGUUUUAUUGAUUUAUUUUAUUAAUAACCCAUGAGUCCCGUUUGUGUUGCCAUAUACUCCUAGGUGUGCAGGCAUCCCUGAAGCAUGGUUGACCAACCAGGGGCUGUACCCUUAAGGAACCUGAUUCUCCCUCAUCCAGAAGUCAUCAACUGUCUAUGGCUCCCCAAAUAGGGAUGGGCGCUUGCAGACUCCUUCCCCUCACAUGCUAGAAUGAUGGUUGGCUUGUUUAUCAUAUAGGUUUAAACUCUACACAAGAUGGAUUCUCCAGGACUCCUGCAGGCUCCUACAUUCUGGGUACAGACGUGUGUUCUUAUCUACUGGGAUGGGUGGUUGACUUCAGGGGGUUGGGGCUCACAGUUGUCACUGGCAUGGAAUGGUAUGAAUGCUGUACCCUGGAAGAGUAAUGGUUCUGUUACCGUUUGCUUCAUGCAGGGCCGUGGGUAGCAUUGCUGGGUGUUCUCAUCUGUCUGUAGUAAUACUAGCAUGAAGUAACCUUGACAUAUGAGACGCUUGCCCAAGCAGCACCCAUUCUUGCAGAAGUACAGAGGGAGAAGUGCCAGUCUUGGGCCAGGGUGAAGUGUGUAGUUACUGAAAACCUAAUGGUUACUUUCUUUUGUAAUUAAAACUUCAAACUGCCUUCUUCAAACUGCCCUCCAGGUAAGGGGAAUGGAUUCCCCUGUGUCCAAGGGAGAUGAACCUUUCACAAUCUACGACCUGUAGACAAACCGAACAUGGGAAGAAUAUCAUAGUGGGCUGCUUCUUGCUCUAUCCUGGUGCCCUGUGGUGGAUGGGGGACAGCCUGAAGGUGCUGGGUCUCUGGGGACAGACAUUCACAUUGCUGCAUUGCUGAGAAGAUGCCUUGGUCUGGAAGAGCAUCCCAACUGGACAGGCUCUGCUAAGAGCGCUGUGUGGUUUCUAGCCUGCAGGAGGUACGGGUGGCAAACAUUUUUUGUGCCUUGAAUCUGGGUACAUGAAGCAUCUGCUGCGAGCCAGGUAUUUGAGAGGACUCUUGUUUCUAAUGCACCCCGGAUGUUUGUCCUGACUGAAAGCACAGCAGCUUUGUCUGCACCCCUUCCAAGUGUGCAAAGCCAGGUUCUCCACGAUCAGGUGCUCAUUCUGCUGUUUCCCAUUUUCUGCAGAGUCUCCAGUUUGCCUUGGUCCCCCACUGUUCCUCUUUCAUCAGAAUGACCAAAGCCUGGUCCUUACCACUGCACACUCUAGUUGCUCUAAUUAAACAUUCGAGACCCACCAGGGCAACUCCCUUGCAAUCCUUGCCAUCUUCCAGCUCAUUCUGUUCUUGUCUCUUGGUGGGAAUGCACAGAGACAAUUCAGGGAGGGGAGAGGUCACAGUGACAUUAAGUUGAACUGGGAUAGAUUGGGUUCAGACCUCCUUGAGUACCAGGAACCCUCACCUCAGGAGUCCUUACCUGAUUUCUGCACGGUGCCAAUAGAUGGACUGGAUCAAUGCUCUCCUAGUGACAUGAGUGACCCUCGCUCUGGAACUCAUGGGAAAUGCUAGUUCUGAGUAGGCACCAGAGCACACAGUAGCUGUGUCUUAGCAUGCCUGGGGAAGUGAGAGAGUUCCCAAAGUUCGAGGCCUGGUUAAAAUGAAUGCAAAGCCUCCUUUGAAAGGGACAGCUUAUGCCUAUUGCCUUGACUUGUGGGAUGGCCAAUAGGCAAGGGGGGCGGGGCUUACCCAGAGGAAACAAAACACACAGUCACCCUGGAAGCCGCUUCCAGGCUUCACAGAGUAUGGCAUUACUUGGAUUGUGUUCCACAUUAUUCCCCCACCCCCAACCUCCAGCAAAAGCUGACAGGAGACCCGUGGGAAGGCCCUGAUGUCCCUGAAGAGCUGUUCUUGUCCUGAACAGUCCUUGAAAAGGCUUCCUAAGGCAGCACCUGGAGAGCAGGGCAGACGGCAGCUUUGAGCCCGUCAGAGCAGAUACAGUUUCUCCAUUCGUUCCUGGCACAAUUGGAUUUUCCUUGCUACAUCAAGGCACGUGAAGAUCGCUGGUACUUAGGAAGUGGGACCUCCAACCCAGGAGAAGAUUCUAGAAAGUGUGGCAUAGGCUGAGGAUUUCUCUAUAUAGCCCUGGCUGUCCUGGAACAGGCUGUGGAGACCUGCGGAGACCAUCUUGGCCUUGAACUCAGAGACCACUGCCACACACUACCACAAAAACAUACAUCUUUCACAAAAGGUUUGUGUGCAGAAGGUUUGGUCUCCAGGUGAGUUAUGACUGGAGCACAGUAACAUCUACUCCAUCAACUGAUUACAUCACUGGUGAGCUCUUAGCAAGUGGACAUAAUGUCUGGUUGGAGGAAGUGUUCACCAGAAGUCACCUUUCUACCCAUGCACAGUACUACCCUGCAAACUCUUUUUUGAUGUUGUUAUUAAUUAUUAUUAUUAUUAUAUUUUUAAUUAGCUUGUAAAAUGGCAUAUUUUCUACUGCCCUCUUUUCCCUGAUAAAGGAAGCAGAUGUGCCUCUGAAAGGUGUACAUUGGUUCUGGCUUCUCUCUGUCUGGGUCUCUGUCUGUCUGUCUGUCUUGGACAUGUGAAGAGCUUCUUUGUCCCAGUAAUAUUCCCAUGACUAUGGUGUGCUGCCUUGCUACAGGCCUCCAGUGGUAGAACAAAGAAACCAUGGAUUUAUACGAUGGAAAUUGUGAGCCAUAAGAAACCUUCCUUCUUUUUAAGUUGAUUUCUCAGGCAUUUUGUCAUAGUGAUGGAAGUCUGGUUAACUCAGCUGACAAACAUGUUCUGAAAAGUCAUAUGCAGCCCACUAUUUUGCAAGCAAAUUAAAAAUAUAACAACAACAACAACAACAACAACAACAACAACAUUAACGACAGAAGAGUUUUUAGGGACGUACUCUGCAGGAGUAGAUGCUGUUGCUCCCAGAAGCCACCAGUUAUUAAACAAAAUUCAUAGCUUUGGCAUGAUAAUGCUUUAUGAAAUUGUUGAUCAGGGAGGCCCUCAAGGCCCACAAUACAGUCUCUUGGUAAUGCCCUAUGUUGCCCACUGGCAUUAGAUAAGGAGAUCUUAUUGCUGACGUUAACAUAUGCUCUAUUCAGGAUAGAGAAACAUCAAGCAGAAGCUGAACUAGAAACUCCCUCCUUUCUGGUUAGCUUUCAUGACACCAGAAGGUGUGAUGUAGGCUGCAGAGUAAGAAAAGCUGUCAGCCUCUCUCUCCGCUGUCAUCCCUAGGAGCUACAAUACCAUCCCACCAGGCAGGAUGUGCCCACUUGUAUGCUAGUAUCAUGCACACACUCCUUCCUCCCCUCAAAUGUGAUAUUCACAACUGGUCUUUUAAUUCUGUAAUCUAAAUACUCAGUAUGGGACCUCCAGGCUGAUGGAUGUGAGCCUAUUUCUCCCUCAGUUGUUUGGACUUAGCUUGUUUAUAUUUGAUCUUGGCUUUGCCUUUUUAACUGCAUUAUGCAAUUACAUCCUGUCUACUCUAUCUUCUCCAUUGUUAACUGUUCAUACUUGGGUUGUGGUGUAUUUCAAAUUCAAGUGGCAUUCCUGGCUAUAUUUAAAACACACAAUAUGUUAUUUAGGAGGAACAGAGACAAAAGAGUAGAUAUUUUAUUUAUCCUUCUAAUUUAAAUUUUUAUUGUUUUGAGAAUUUCAUACAUGAGAACAAUAUUUAUAUCAUUGUAUCCUUACUUCGCUCACAUCAGCAAAGGUCACUGGAAGCAUCAAUUACUUAUGAUUGUCCCUACGCUUCCACUUCCUCUCCUUCUGUCACUUUUCUUCUAUAAUAUAAUGGGGAGCCCAGACUGUGGGGUUCCAGGUUCACCCAUAAUCAGCUACUUCCAGUUUUCAUCACGGCUUCCCCUUAAGGAUCCCAACUCAAUUCCCUGCCUUACUGUUCGGUGCUUCACCAGAAAUGGAUGCCCAGCCCCACAAAAGGAGGUCACCACUGUGUAUGUCAUGGGGAGGCAGAGCUAUUUUGUAGACUCAUAACUCUUAGUGAGAAAGAAAAAUCAGGUCAUCUUGCUCUUUAAAGACUGCUGAUCUGGAUGCAAAAUUCAGAUGUCAAAGAAUCAAUUCAAUGACUUCAAGGAGAUGCCAAUAAAGCUUAACUUAGGAUAAGAUUCCUCCAGCCAAAACAGCAGCGUCCCAGAAGCAUCCCCUGACAAGGAUCCAGACCAUCAGCAGUGGUCGAAGCAGGGAGAAGUACACUGGAUGGGACAGUCAUUAGGAGAGCGGGCACUUGUAGAAGUGACAUGAACAGAGGGACAGCACUGGGGAACACAUAAGGACAUGGAGUGAAGCCCCGAGAAGCAGGGCAGAGGUGGAGGAAGCUGAAUGAGUAGAGGUGAAGUGAGCUGGUUGACCCUUGAGUGGUAGAGGAGAUAGACUUGGGUGGGACUUUCAGGUACAGAGAAAUGCCAUGGUGAGGGGUAGCGGAUUGGGAACAUGAUGAGCACAUUUGGAGAUUAGGAUUUCAGGUUCAAAGUCACUUUACCUUGGGAGUCUGUUUUUUAAUAUGGCCACAGAUGACUUAAUGAUAAGGACCCCUGUGAAGUGAGUCAUCAGGCAGUUUCUGUCACCCGGCAGAUUUCACAGAACAUACUCCAGUACAGACAGAACAGCACUGCUUGGCUUGUCUUCUUGGCCUCAUACCUUGCUGGGAGGCUGCACACUGGGGUAUUGUGGGAUUUAGCAAUGGCUGAACAAGGUUUAUUUAUUUUUUGAAAAAUGAGCCUUGUUGAAACAAAAAUCUGCUUUUAAUUAUAGCUCAUUUGACCGCAGUCCUGUGGAGUAGGACUCUGGGCAGUGGGUGCUGAGCUGUGUCGAGUGUUAGGAGAGCUGGGUUCUAGGUCUGUGGGAUGCUGACCCCUGACCAACCAUUAUUUCCUCUCUGCAGCCUCAAUUUUCUUGUCUGGAUGUGCAUGGGUUUGGAUCACCCCCUGGGUGCUCUGUAGCCCUUGUUCUUUCCCAUGAUGGGAUUCUAGCAGGUUCUACUUCAUCAAUCUUCUGCUGCCCUGGAAAGCCAGUGGUGGCUGAGAAAAAUCUUUCUGUCUUUGCUUCUUUUCUAUGCUUAGAACACCCUUCACUCCUUGUCUUCUUGGAGUCUGCUUCUUCACCCAGAAGGACUGAACUUCAGAGCUCCUGGAAGGCUACACCUUCUGAGAUCCUCUAUGACCUGGGCACAGUAGGAUGGAGGGGUGACAUCCAGAAGAGAUACUUCUAAGGGGCCGAGGAGGAUUCUCAAAGCAAGUCUCAUCUUCUCUCAGCAAGGAGAAAAACAAGGAAACAAAAGAGCUGGGGGAUUGGCUACUCAAUUCUCAAUUUUGAGGAAAAUCUAAAGGAAGUCACAGGACCAUGGUCAAUGGCACUGUGUAGGGUCUCAGGAGGGCCUGGCCUCUCUGACUUCCUAUCCAGCAGCCUUUCUGCUCUGGGCUUUGAUCUUCCACCACAACUGGAGUCUGCCUGGAUCUUCACACUCUUCCCCAGGGCUGCCAUGCUAGGAACAUCUCUAGGAAAGACCGGCACAUGCAGUGUGUGACAAGCUGUGCGAUGCCACUUCACUGAGAUCAAUGCUGAGGAAAGAACAGUUUGUACCUUGUGAAGUUAGAAAACCAUCAGACAGAUGACUGUCCUCAGGCAGAGGACAAUUACCUAAAGCUGGCUGGCAGGAGUCCUGCACUACGGAAUGAAGAUCCCGUGCAAAAGAAAUGCUGGGGCUCGAGAACAAUGAAUGGACAGAGGAGGGUGGUUCCUGGGAUCUCUCUUCUAUCCAUUUGUUCCAAGGGCACCUGAGUUCUCAGAGUUCUCUAAGUUCUAAUGUGGCAAGGGUGUGUCCAACCUUGUUGAUUGUUUUUAGAAAAGGCACAAAGAGUCAUUUGUACUUUGGUCUUUGGGUCAGGAGUCUUCAGGUCCAACAUUUUGUUAGGUCUGAUAGACUUCUAGGACUGGCUGGGCUCAGAAGCAAUUAUACACUAUUAUUAUUAUAGGAAGAAAGGGUGUGAGAAACUAUGAAGAAUUAGGCAUAGAUAUUUAAUUCCCCAGUAACACUGGGGAAUGUAAGGCAUGCAUGUAAGGCAUGACUGAGCAGAUGUUUCUAUAAGUAUUAGUGCCCAUGUAAUGCCUGUGUGACUAACACCAGCCUCUUAAAGCUGGAUUCUUGCUGAUUGAAUUGGUACAACAUUGACUGAGACUCAAGGGCUCAAACAAGCCAAUAUGUGUUUACAAGGUAGAACUUUCUAAGGAUGUAGUUCUCCCAGGGGAUGGCCAUUGGUCAGUCCUGGUUCCAGAGGUUUACCAGGAAUGUCUAGGGUUUGAGUAACCCAGAUCUGUUGACUGAAGUUCCCAUCCAUUUUUCCUUUGUAUUUUAGGAUUAAUUUGUCACAUUCCACAAAAUACCCUUGUUGGAAUUCAUAUGUUGAAUAUAGAAAAAUAAUCAGGAUGAAAUGCUUUUCUUUUUGAUAAUGAUUUUUUUCGUGUUAUUUUCUAUUUGUAAAGUGCUUUAUAUCCUGUAGAAUGUUUACAAAUGCUUUAAUAAAGUCUUAUCCAUCUUCUCUUUGAUUAUUUCCGCACAUUUGUUAAACUUGGUCCACAAACAUUUUGGCUGUCAUUGUAUUCUCUAGUCCACAGCAGAGGGUAUAGGGGACUAUUAUUAUUUUUUGUAUAUUGGACUUGUAGCCAACAACCCUCUUGGUCUUCCUUUACAGCUUUAUUGUCUAUAAAUUCUUCCUGGAAAUUUCUUUAGAAAAUGUAUUGGUUUCAUAUGGCAACAGUAAGAAAAUACUAUAUAUUUAGUGGCUUAAAAGGACAUAAGUCUCCUCUCUUAUGGUUUUGGAGGCUGUAUCAAAUUGUUCUCACUGGGCUGCAUGCAUAGCAGGGCUCUUAGAGAAUCUGUAAUCUGUGUACUUGUCUAGCUUAUAAAAACUACCAGAAUUCUUUGGCUCUUGAUCCCUGGCUCAUAUCACUCCAGCUUCUUGUUCUUUUGGUUUCAUAGCCCUCUUGUCAGUGCCCAUGAUUACAAUGGGUCAGAUCAAGCCUAUGAUAACUCAGACUAAUGGUUCAAAGUGGAAACUCUUGACUUUAUCAAAGUGGCAGCAUGAUUAACUGGCAAAGUAAUUAUCAUGGACUUUGGGAAUUAGGGUAUGGAUAUCUUGGGUAACCAUUUUUCAUUACACAAUCACAUUGUUUAUAAAAAAAGGUGUUUUCACUUUUAAAUUCAUAUACCUUUUAUUUCUUGUCUGGAUUGUUAGGAUUAUUAAAGACUCUCAAUACAUAUCCAGUAGACACUGACUUAGUAAGCCUUUAUUCUGACUUCCAUGGUAGUAUUUGUAAUAUUUCUCCAUCAUAUUUCUGUUUGCUGUGGUGUUGGCUGGUAUUAAAUCAGUGUUACAAGAUGUGUUGUUACGACUUCACGAUGCCGAUUUUGUGGUGUUUAUGUUCUCUGAGUAGCUUCAGACUUGUUUAAUCACCCACUGCUGCUUAAUAGCUUAAAUGCUGGUGUGGGCACCCUCACCUUACACGCUCAUCUGCUGAGGUUGGCCUGGCUAGCUAAUCUGGGCUGGGGCCACUCCUACCAUUUAGUUGCUCCAUUGAUAAUACGGAAUGGUUCAGUCUGAUGUCAGCUGCAUUUCUGCCUGUGAGCUGCUCUCCCUUGUCCUCCAUGUAGCCUCUUGGGGAGGAUGGCUCACAUUUCCAACAUUAAGGCAGUGUGUUACAAGACAGAAAACCUGUAACAGCCUCUCUGUAGCUUUCAUUAUAUCUACUGAUGUCUUUUGGGCCAAAGCAAGACACAAGACCACCCUGAGCUAAUCUGGAAGGGUUGCAUAGGAUUGUUAGAUUUCAACAAUGGCUAAGAGUACCUCCUAUGUGGGCUUUGGUGUCUGCCUUGCCAUGCAUAUUACCUUCAAAUCGCUGCCUUCCCACACCUUUUCACCGUACAGCCCCUUCGCUGGUGGACGUAGAAGGAAUGUGGUGAAACACCUAGUUUUCAGAGUUAGCUCUGGGGAGAAAUCUCAAUAUUGGUUCUCAAAUAUGGCCACAAGCCUCUAUCCCAAACACAAUGCCAUUUUAGUUUUAGUAUUGUUCAUGAUAACCGUUUUCAGGCAAAGGAGAGCUUUGCAGACCCUUCUGUCUUGGUUCCCUCUAGCCUCCUUUUCACCACUCUCUACUUCACCAAACAGACAGGUGAUCUUUUCUUUAUUAUUGUUUCCAAAUUGAAAGUGUGUAAUAUCAUUCUGUCCUUUGCUCUGUUUUAGUUUCUCCCUCUCUCCUACCCUUCCUGACUCCCUCCUUGCAGCUCUGCCCUUUGUAAUUUUUAGCAUUCUUAUUAUAGGCUAAGAUUAUAAAGAAGGGAUGCUUAUAUAUCCUUCAUUCUCAAGUGUGGUUGAGUUUAUGUGCUAUUCAGGAAGCCCUGGGUACUUUAGUGAUGAACAGAGCAGAGGACACUUAUGAGCAACUGUGGAGUAGUUAAAAUGAUGGAUAGAGAAAUAUGGGGUAGUGUUCAGCCUCUGGUCAGGUCACUGAGGAGAAAGAAAGGAGUAAUUAAAGUGGCUGGAUAAUGUGUCUCACUGAGAAAAAGCCUCUGCAGGCUCUGAGCAGUCAGCAGGGAUGGGGCUGAGGGAAGGGAAGAGGUGAUCUGGAGAUGGCUCAUUAGCAUGGAAAUGAAAGAAGAGGUGAGACACUGAAUAUCAACAGAAGGAGGGAUCAGGUCAAGUGCAGCCAGAGAAGGUCCCACUAUCCAGGGAGUAAUUUGCACUUCUUAGGCUCCAAUUUCAGGGCAGAAUGGGAAUCCCUCCUCUACUGACUCCUCUGUUGCUAGUGAUAAUUUCUCUACCAUCAUUCUGAACAUUGAGAAUAGAAAAUGACUAUCAUAUUUGGAAUUAGCUGUUCCUUCCCCAAAAUAUCUGGAUGAGUCACAGGGAACUUUCCCCUCAGCCUAUUAGGUCAGACAGGACUCUCUCUCACUGUCAGAGAUGGGUGUGGUCCCUGCUUGU